rnacentral:rRNA from 1 species
UUAGAGUUUGAUCCUUGCUCAGGAUGAACGCUAGCGGCAGGCUUAACACAUGCAAGUCGAGGGGCAGCGAGAUCAGUGCUUGCACUGAUUGUCGGCGACCGGCGCACGGGUGCGUAACGCGUAUGCAACCUACCCAUUACAGGGGGAUAACACUGAGAAAUCGGUACUAAUACCCCAUAACAUCCAGGGAGGCAUCUUCUUGGGUUGAAAACUCCGGUGGUAAUGGAUGGGCAUGCGUUGUAUUAGUUAGUUGGUGGGGUAACGGCUCACCAAGACAACGAUACAUAGGGGGACUGAGAGGUUAACCCCCCACAUUGGUACUGAGACACGGACCAAACUCCUACGGGAGGCAGCAGUGAGGAAUGUUGGUCAAUGGACGCAAGUCUGAACCAGCCAUGCCGCGUGCAGGAAGACGGCUCUAUGAGUUGUAAACUGCUUUUGUACGAGGGUAAACGCAGAUACGCGUAUCUGUCUGAAAGUAUCGUACGAAUAAGGAUCGGCUAACUCCGUGCCAGCAGCCGCGGUAAUACGGAGGAUUCAAGCGUUAUCCGGAUUUAUUGGGUUUAAAGGGUGCGUAGGCGGUCGGAUAAGUUAGAGGUGAAAUCCCGGGGCUCAACUUCGGAAUUGCCUCUGAUACUGUUCGGCUAGAGAGUAGUUGCGGUAGGCGGAAUGUAUGGUGUAGCGGUGAAAUGCUUAGAGAUCAUACAGAACACCGAUUGCGAAGGCAGCUUACCAAGCUACUUCUGACGUUGAGGCACGAAAGCGUGGGGAGCAAACAGGAUUAGAUACCCUGGUAGUCCACGCAGUAAACGAUGAUAACUCGUUGUCGGCGAUACAGUGUCGGUGACUAAGCGAAAGCGAUAAGUUAUCCACCUGGGGAGUACGUUCGCAAGAAUGAAACUCAAAGGAAUUGACGGGGGCCCGCACAAGCGGAGGAACAUGUGGUUUAAUUCGAUGAUACGCGAGGAACCUUACCCGGGCUUGAAAGUUAGUGACGGAUCUUGAAAGAGGUCUUCCCUUCGGGGCACGAAACUAGGUGCUGCAUGGUUGUCGUCAGCUCGUGCCGUGAGGUGUCGGGUUAAGUCCCAUAACGAGCGCAACCCCUACCGUUAGUUGCCAGCAGGUCAAGCUGGGCACUCUGACGGGACUGCCGGUGUAAGCCGAGAGGAAGGUGGGGAUGACGUCAAAUCAGCACGGCCCUUACGUCCGGGGCUACACACGUGUUACAAUGGCAGGUACAGAGGGCAGCUACCCAGCGAUGGGGUGCGAAUCUCGAAAGCCUGUCUCAGUUCGGAUUGGAGGCUGAAACCCGCCUCCAUGAAGUUGGAUUCGCUAGUAAUCGCGCAUCAGCCAUGGCGCGGU